rnacentral:lncRNA from 1 species
AUUUCUUGCAUGUCCUUAAGAUCAUGCUCCUGGAGACAAGUCCCAGGUCUUAACCCAGUAAAGUACAAUCGUAUUGUGUCAUACUCUCGCACUGAGGUGAACUGACUCCUGGAUGGCUAAUUUUUCUAGGGUGGCUGGGACCCAUUCACCUAGCCUCUAAUGGGUUUCAUUUUGGCUCAAGAUGCAUGGUUUCCACAAUCUAUGCACCUGGAGUAAGCACUUUCCUGGUUGCCUCGGAAAAGCAUGCCGGCAAAUGCUGCUCUGUUAAUUGCUGUAAUAAACAGACUUUUAUUAU